UUCAUAUUUAAGAGUAAGAGUCAAAAAGAAGGUUGAGAACAUUGUGUACUGGAAUAAGGUUCUUGUUUUGUUUUGUUAGGUCUAUCAGGCAGGAAGGCAGCUAUUACCAUUAGGAGUCCAUCAAAAGCCAGAAUGUGGAGGUCUUUCAAGGGGAAGCCUCAAGUUUCACCUCCCUCUUGCCAUUCUGAAGUCUCCAAUUCCUAAGCCCUGGAGGAAUCCCACAGGGCGCACCAUCUCCCCCUCCCUUUGAUCCAGAUUCCCCCGGGCUGAAUAAUGCCACCAGGAACACAGAAGAACAGAUACUUCUUUGAGAGAAUGAUUUCCUUUCCUUGGGCUACAUACCUAGAAGUGGAAUUGCUGAAUCAUAUGACACGCCGAGAAAAGGCCACUUGAGGUCACAGUAGGAAGGUGUCCAUCUGCAAGCCAGGAAGAGAGACCCCACGAGAAACAGAACAUGGCUUUGGACUUCUGGCCUCUAGAACUGUGAGCAAACAAAUGUCUGUAGUUUAAGCCACCCGGCCUGGUAUUUUGUUAAUGUCGACCCGAGCAGACCAAGACAUCUGGAGACACAUGGAGC
ensembl:lncRNA